GACAGAGGCCCCGAGCGUAGGCGGAAUCACUGGGCUUAAAGCGUGUGUAGGCGGGCCCGUAAGUGUCUUGUGAAAUCCCACGGCUCAACCGUGGAACUGCUGGGCAUACUGCGGGUCUGGGCCAACUAGGGGGCAGCCGGAACAAGCGGUGGAGCGGUGAAAUGCGUAGAUAUCGAGAGGAACACCUGCGGCGAAGGCGGGUUGCUGGGCUGACACUGACGCUGAUGCGCGAAAGCGUGGGGAGCGAUCCGG
rnacentral:rRNA from 1 species